GGCAGAGAUAGAAUUGCAUCAACUGGUCAACACAGAAACUCCCAUAGGGUAUGAAGGAUUGUCAGAGGUCUCAGUGCCUCACACCACAGCCAGGGCUGAGGUAAUGAAACAUCGGUAUGGACGUCUCUUAAUCCUUAUUGAAUUGCACUUUAUUGUCACGUGCACUCGAAUAACAGGAUAACCAGGAAUGUAUUGGGAUAAAGUUGCAUUAUUGAUGGAGUGGAUUGAGUUGAUGAGGCGCCUUUUACAGUAAAGGGGAGAUCGGUUUUGUCCAGCUUCAGAAAAUGUAAACUCAUGCUGGUUAAAACAUGAGCUUCCCAGGAAUUUACAGCAACACAACAGACCUCAGUCUGCUGUGAAGAAGAUGAUACAGCCCAGGUAGAUGGGGACUGUCAGGAUUUUGAUCAAGCAACCAUCGAGUAACAACCAUAUAUGGCAAGUGUCAGAAUACGGUGAGUUUUAGACAAUGAAACAACUCACGAGAGGAUGAUGCUCCACAAACAUCCCCCCACCAACAAUGGUAAAGCCCAGCACAUGAAGGUGGAAACAUUUUCAUUCAUCUUCAGCCAGACAUGCUGAGUGGGUGAACCUUCAUGAACUCCUCCUGUGUCUCCAGCAUCACAAAUUCCAGUCCUCAGUUCAUAGGAUUUCUCUCUAUAUGAUAUCAAGAAAUGGUUGACUUGAAACUGCAAAGACUAUGAGAUUUGACAAUAUUCCAGCAAUGAUGCUAAAGACUUACAUUCCUUAACUACCUGUGCCUCCAAACAAGCUGUAGUAGUAUAGUUACAACACUGGCAUUCAUCCGACAAUAUGGAAAAUUACCCAGGUCUGCAAAAAACAGGACAACUCUAACUUGACCAAUUACUGCCCUAUCAGUCUACUUUCCAUCAUCAGCAAAGUGUCAUCAACAGUGAUAUCAAGUGUCACUUGCAAAAGAAUAAUCUGCUCAUUGACGCUCAGUCUGGGUACCCCCAGGGCCAUGCAUCUCCUGACCUCAUUACAGCCUUGGUCCAAAUGUGGGCAAAAGAGUUGAGGUGAGGUGAGAGUGACAGCCCUUCACAUCAAGGUGGCAUCUGAUUGAUUGUUGCAGAAUCGCAAAACUGGAGGCAGUUGGAAUCAGCGAUGAAGCCCUCCACUAGUGGCAAUCAUUUCUGAGAAGGAGCAGCGCUCCAAAA